AGGAGAAGACCGGAAGUCCGAAGCGCAGACAAUGCGGUGUUUAUUGGGGUUUUCAGUGGAAAAAGAUACAGUCCAGAAAACACUUUUCAGGCAAGUGGCUCAUGGAAGAAGAACAACAAGGUUAAGGAGGGUGAAGAGAGAAGUGAGGAGUGACAUGUGUGAUGCUAAAAUCCCACCACUCAACAAUGAGCAAUUCAAAAGGCAACAGCAGCAGAAGAGGGGGAGCAACACCUGCCUUGUCUGUCUUCACAUAUUCUACCAUCUAGUGGGAUUAAAAAGUCACUUCUCUCCCUAAUGUUUCGUAUUCAUUAGAUAUACUGUGCUUGAAAAUAAGGUUUAAAUGUUUAAAAUGUUGCUGGUACCUUUUCUGUGUUAUAGAGAGGAUCAAGAAUACUAAACAAUUUUGUUUAAUUUAUGCUUGAGGAUGGGUAAGAAAAAGAUCCUAGUUUUUGGAUGCAAUAUUCAAAGCUAUGGAAGUCACAAAACAUUCAUUCACCUAACCUGAGGAGAUUUUACGAU